GUGCCAGCAGCCGCGGUAAUACGGAGGGUGCGAGCGUUAAUCGGAAUUACUGGGCGUAAAAGCGCGCGUAGGCGGUUAUUUAAGUGAGGUGUGAAAUCCCCUGGGCUCAACCUAGGAACUGCAUUUCAAACUGGAUAACUUGAGUAUGUCAGAGGGUAUUGGAAUUUCCCCGUGUAGCAGUGAAAAUGCGUAGAUAUGGGAAGGAACAUCAGUGGCGAAGGCGAAUACCUGGGAUAAUACUGACGCUCGAGGUGCGAAAGCGUGGGGACGCAAACGGGAUUAGAUACCCCUGGUAG
rnacentral:rRNA from 1 species